rnacentral:tRNA from 1 species
GGGCGAGUAGUUCAGUGGGAGAACGUCUGCUUCACACGCAGAAGGUCGUUGGUUCGAUACCAAUCUCGCCCA